AUUCAGCUGACGAGUCAAAAAUAGGACAAAACGAGCGUUCUGGAU
rfam:Schistosoma mansoni strain Puerto Rico chromosome W, complete genome